ACUAUCAAACACCAAUGGCUUCCUCUGCUUUUGCACUUGCUUCCACCUUUAGGGCUCCCACGGCCCCGAUGGUUUCCUCACCGUCGGCGAAGAUCAGUACUACUACUCCGCCGACGGCUGCCCAUUUCCUCAAACAUACUACUGGUAAGGGAGGCGAUCAGAGUGUUAACCCCUGGCGGUUUCCCGUUUUUGGAAAGACAUCUCAUCACUCUGCCGGAGGUGACCAGGUUAACGGGCCCUGGCCGCUCCCCAUCUUCGGCAACUCUACAGGAGUUGACGGUGGCUACGUUCAGCCCUUUUUCGGUUGAUAAGUACUCUACCGUCUCGACGAUGUUGUUGUUGUUGCUGCUGUUGUUGUUGCUGCUGUUGUUGUUGUUGUCGUGGUCGUCCUAAUGAAUAAUAUCCUUUCUAUUAAGGGUAGCUCUGCUGUUGUCCUCAUGAACAACAUCGCCAUAUGAUGUAACCUUGUGUUGUGUUCCAUCUAAUAUAUAAUAAAAAGAUAUUUUCUGUGUUAGCAGUUUAGCUAUACAAAAAUUAAUGCUGGAAGUUUAGUGAUUCAAAUCGUGUUAAACCGGUCGGGUCAGCAGGCUUUGCACUCAGCUGAGUAUCCCUUUGGGCUUGAGGUGCGGGUACGAAACAAUCCUAUUUUAUACUUCGUGUAAAGAAUCAUCGCGUCAUGAUAAUUCGAGUUGUUUGGGAGAGGAUUGCUUUUAGCCAGGGCAUAGGAGGAGCUAUUUUGGUGUUGAUUACUCUCUGUCACGCAUUAUAUAAAUCUUAUAUAAUUUUCUAACACCGUAACACGCUUAUCUUGCUAAAAAAAUGCAAUUUUCUGUCAUUACAUGUCGAGUUACUAAAGGUAUUUAGUAACUAGAAAUGCGUAUCAGUCAUGGAAAAUAAUAUUUACGACAGGAAAUUAUGUAACUAAAAAGAAGUCUAAUAGUUUCUGGUUUCCAUUAUUAAUAAACAUUGGUGACUAAAUAUUCACAAUUGGUGACUAAUUUCUGGUAACUAAAGCAUUUUAUGUGACGAUUGAUUUUGUUUUUGUAGUGUCUUAUACACUAAACAGAUAAACAUGUAAGGAGUGCACCUAACGUACAAUCAUGCUUCGAAACUAAUCAUGACCCUUCGAUAUUGUGUAGCGGCCAAAUGGACGGUCCUGAUAAAUUGAGGAGUUACAAAUAACUGAAUGGGGGGAAUUUAUAGGCCAAAUGGCUUGUAGCAUUGAAUUGGGGAAGUUAAAAAGGAGUGGUAGGGGAAAGAUAGCGCCAAAUGGAGGGUAUCAUUAGAUUAAGGAGUUGCGUUGCAGGCCUGCAGCGAUUUGGUUCGGUUUUUUCGAUAUUCGUGUAUCUGGAUUGUGUUAUCCGCUGAUUAAAUAUCAAGAAUUUAGAUCGGAGAACAAACUGUUAUUGCUAUCGUACGAGAAACCCGAUCUAAAUUCUUGAUACAAUUAGAAGGAAUUUGUUCCUUGAUGACCAUUUGUGAGCAUGUUUCAUAACAUAAGCUAGGUUGCAUCACUCUAAUAUAUGGAAAAAAAAAUUGCUGUAGUGUAAAUUUUAAUUUUUUUAUCUUAUCCAUAUAAAUGAUUAAUGAACAUGGUAAUCUGUCAACUCGAGUAAAUAUUGUAGACACCGAGGGCGCGCACACAUUUAUAUAUCUAUUUGUUAUAUAUAAUUUCUAUCUGUUGACGUUUUGGUUGGUCAUUACUUCGUUAUGACGGUUAUUUUGAGUUUACUAAGGCUAUUGGUACCAGUACUACUCAAAUUAAUUAAUGUACAAGUAAAAUGAAGUAGCUAUAGAAAAAGUGUAGGAAAAUAUUCAGGAGUCGAGGUGAGGAAUUACAAUACUUGGAUCCUUUAUUGCUUUUGCACUUGCUUCUACCUUUAUUGUUUCCUCACCGGCGGCCAAGAGUACUGCUACUCCGCCGAUGGCUACCAUUGCCGCCCGUUUCCCCAAACAUACUACUGGUAAGGGAG
rnacentral:lncRNA from 1 species